rnacentral:rRNA from 1 species
UUCGCAAUGCCCGAAAGGGUGACGAAGCGACGCCGCGUGGGUGAGGAAGGCCUUCGGGUUGUAAAGCCCUGUCAGGAGUUAAGAAAUGUAGACUCGCUAAUAUCGGGUCUAUUUGACAAAGGCUCCAAAGGAAGCCACGGCUAACUCUGUGCCAGCAGCCGCGGUAAUACAGAGGUGGCAAGCGUUGUUCGGAAUUAUUGGGCGUAAAGAGCACGUAGGUGGAUUUGUAAGUCAGACGUGAAAGCCUUCUGUUCAAUGGAAGAAUUGCAUCUGAAACUACAAACCUUGAGUGUAGGAGGGGAGAAUGGAACUUCUGGUGGAGCGGUGAAAUGCGUAGAUAUCAGAAGGAACGCCGGCGGCGAAAGCGAUUCUCUGGCCUAUUACUGACACUCAGUGUGCGAAAGCUAGGGGAGCAAACGGGAUUAGAUACCCCGGUAGUCCUAACCGUAAACGAUGGGCACUAAGUAGAGGGGUUUU